UCACAUUUUAGGACCGUUAACUCACAGGUUUUUUUUUUUUUGUUUUUUGUUUUUUUUUUUAAUCGUUUUCUGGACACCCCUCAGGUCCAGGUAAGGGGAGGAACCCGGUCCAGGCAGCCACAAGAGGAAGUUCUACCCCCUGUACAAACAGAGGCAGAGUAGGAUGAGGCAACCUAGUAAAAGCAAAGCUGGAAGCAGACUGCCUUGGUUCCAAUCCCAACUCUGCAGCUUACUUUGUGGUCUUGGGCAACCUCUGCAUGCCCCAGUUGUCUCAUGGGCAAGAUAAGAAUUAAAAAGUAAUAACUCACAGGACUGUUUUGAGUAGAUGGAUAAUUCACUAACAAAACUACACAGCACAUAGCUUGGAGGAUGCUCAGAGCUACUGAACACAAAUGGACUCUGAGGUGCCUUCAGCUCUGGGAGUCUGCAGUCUGCGUAUCCACUUGUUCUAGGUCCAUGCAUUAGUCAGCCUUGGGCAACUAAGUUGCCAAGAGGGACUCUGUGAGGAGAAGGUUCCGGGUCAUUACGAAACAGAUAAGCCAUGUGGCCUCUGGAAAUCGUGAUUCAUGUAAAACUUUUAUUUUGUUUGUCACAAUAAUUCUCUUUGUCCUCAUUUUUAUUUGUUUGAAUGAUUAUGGGUCAAAACAUUCUAAGCUGAAUUCCCACCCUGUUAUUCCAUAAAACUACAGAAAAUGAGAUGUUAGCAUUAGAAAAAGAUAAUUGUUACAUCACACAUGAUUUCAGAUGUUGGGCAGACUGCCAGCUGGAGCAGAUUAAUGAGGAAAAUCAAGAAUCAUCUCUGUGUCUUUGUCCUUGAGGCUAAAAAAGGCAAGAUAAGAAGAGAGGACGUUCUGUGAUGAAUAAGGGCAGCUGUGCUUUCCAACUCAUCCCGGGCCCCUCCUGCUGGGUCAGCUCUGGGUAUCAGAAGGAGGAGAACCUUUGAGGCCCUUGGGGGACUUGCAAGCCAAGGAGGCAGCAGGGAGUAUAAAUGGAGAUGAGACUCUGUCCACACUCUUUGCUGAUGGCCCUAGACUUCAAAAAGCAAACUGUGUCAUCAGCAGGGGAGGGGGAACUGAAAAAGGACAUUUUCCCAGAACUGCCAUCUGCAGUUCUUAGUGCAUAUGUUACGUACACAGACAUGGCGGCUCCCUCCUGCAUUGCCUUCCCUGUGGCCUCAGGUGGACCCCAGGUAUGCAAAUCAGGAUAAGGUGGUGGCCCAUCUGGGAAAUCUGAGACUUGGGAGCAGGAAGCAAAAACUUCAGUGAAAUGAAAUCUUACCUAAAAUUCAAUAGUGCUGUUUUUCCCUUCAGAAAUGAUUUAGGUAAACAGUUUGUGAUUUAAUUAUAAUGUCCUUACGAAAGCCUGUUUUGUCAUUUGCUGCCACCGCUAGGUAAGAACACUGGGAAAUCACAGUGUGUCAUUGUUAUUCUGGUCUUUGCCAUUGCUUCAGCAGUGGGAGUUAUGGGUUUGUCAGCAUUUCCAUUAUUGCCUCUUAUCCUCAAGACCUCUGUCUUAGUCACUGAAAAUUGCCUUGUACUGGAUGGAAGCCUAGAGGUAAUUUCCUUUAACAUUAUAGCAUCUGCAUUCUUUUAUGGUUGUCUGUGACUUCGCAAGUGAUUUAAAUAUCUUUUUAUUAAAAAAUUAAUUCAUGCAUAAGUCUCAACUCUUUUUUAAUGCCUACAGCUCCAAUUCAGGAUUGGAAUGUGAAUCUUGCAAAGCAAAAGUUAUGAGCAGUAUACAACUCAAGCAAGGUACUGCCUUUGUGGCAAUACGACAAGACAUGGCCAAGAAGUAACAAGAGCAGUGUGUGUGAUAAUCAGUAGUAGUUUCUCAUGGUCUCACAUUGUACACCUCUGAGAUUUACAAUGUAAAAGAGGGUAAGAGAAGACAUGGUCUUAGAUUAUAAAUUUAAUUAUAUGUAUGGGGUGGGCAUUUAGCUUAGUGGUUAAGGUGCCUAUGUCUCGCACUGGAGUACCUGGGUUCAAUAUCCAGCUUCAGCUUCGAAUUCCAGCUUCCUCUUAGUGCAGACCUUGGGAGGCAGAGACAGAGAGAGAGAGAGAGAGAAAGGGUCUUCCAUCUGCUGAUUCACUCUCCAAAAGGCCGCAACAGCCAGAGCUGAGCCGAUCCAAAGCCAGGAGCCAGGAGCCUUCUAGAGAUCUCCCACAUGGGUGCAGGGAUCCAAGGACUUGAGCCAUCUUCUACUGCUUUCCCAGACAACAGCAGAGUUGGAUUGGAACUGGACUUGAACUGGCAUCCAUAUGGGAUUGGUGGCUCCACCUGUUACACCACAACACCGGACCCAAAUGAUUGGGUUUCUGUCAUCCAUAUGGGAGAGCUGGAUUGCAUUCCUGGCUUCCAGUUUUGGCUUCUGCCCAGUUUCACCCAUUGCAGGCAUUUGGGAAGUAAACCAGUGAGUGGGAUCUUUUUCCCUUUCUCUCUCAAAUAAACUUUGAAUUUGAAAACUAAAAAAGGGGCAGGCACUGUGGCAUGGUGGGUGAAGCUGCCACCUGCAGUUGCUGGCAUCCCAUUUGGGUGCCAGUUCGAGUCCCAGCUGCUUCACUUCCAAUCCAGCUCUCUGCUAUGGCCUACGAAGGCAGUAGAAAAUGGCCCAAGUGCUUGGAUUACUGCACCCAUGUGGGAGACCCAGAAGAAGCUCCAGGCUUCUGGCUUUGGAUCAGUACAGCUCCAGCUGUUGCAGCCAUCUGGGGAGUGAACCAACAGAUGGAAGACCUCUCUCUCUCUCUCUCUCUCUGCCUCUGGAACUCUGCCUUUCAAAUAAAUAAAUAAAUAAAUAAAUCUUUUUUUAAAAAAAGAAAACUAAAUAAAUUGUAUGUAUUACACUGUCUGUAGACAUUGGAAUCUUCUUACCAAAUCACAGCCUUUUCAGUGUCUGAAAAGGACUUUAGGUCUUAUCUCCUCAAUCAAUUAUGGAUGCUUGUGCCAUCGAUCCCACAUUCCCUUCAGAUGCUUAUUCCACCAAUACCACCUUCCUUUUUCUGCCCUUCCAACAGUGUAUCAGUUAUUUUUUGCUACAUAAUGAAUUAACAUAAAACCUAGGCACUUAAAACAACAGUAAUGAGUAGCUUGCGACUCUAGGUUUUUGCACUGUGAACUGGGCUCAGCUAGGUGGUUCUUCUGUUACUUAUGAGACUACAAAGAGCCAAUGGGUCAGCCAGAAAUCAGUUGAUCAUGGAUAGCCCCACGCACAUGACUGGUGGUUGGCUAUGGUGCAGCGGCAACUGGCCCAUGUGUCUGCACCAUCUAGCAUGCUAUCUCAACUUUUUAUUGGGUUCUGGGUUCCAAAAUCAGUCAAAGAGGGCAGCAUCCAAUGCACACACUAUGUCCAAGCCUUUGUUUGAGUCAUGCUUGAUAAUGCAUCUUUGACUAAAGCAAGUCACAUGACCAUGCUCAUAUUCAUUUGUUUUUAUUCUGAGAUUGGGUUCCCAUCCCAAUCAUUUCAUGUGGGAUCUUCCUAGUAUUCAAUCUUGACUGAAAACAAAUAGAAGGGGAGACAAUUACAGGCCGAUAAGCAUGAAGGAACAAAAAAACCUCUUGAGGGAAGUGAGAAUUCAUACUAAAGGAGAAUCAAAAGAUUGCCCAUGUUAGUGAGCCAGUGAUAAGGGAUGGAAUAAUCUCAGCACAACUUUUCACCUUUAAAAGAAACUGAGGUGGGGCUAGUGCUGUGGCUUAGUGAGCUAAGCCUCUACCUGCGAUGCCAGAAUCCUAUAUGGGCCCUGGCUAGAGUCCCAUCUGCUCCUCUUCCAAUCUAGCUCUCUGCUAUGGCCGGGAAAGCUGGAGAAGAUGGUCCAGGUGCUUGGGCCCCUGCACCUGUGUGGGAGACCCAGAGGAAGAUCCAUGCUUCGGAUUGGCUCAGCUCCAACUGUUCUAGCCAUCUGAGGAGUGAACAAGCAGAUGGAAGACCUUUCUCUCUGUCUCUCCUUCUCUCUGUAAUCCUGUUUAUCAAAUAAAUUAAAAAAAAAAAGGAACAACAAAGAAACUGAGGCACAACUCAAUUAGAAAAUGAAAAGUUUAUUUGGGCUUAUUUAGUGCUGCAAUCCAGGAAGGUAAAAACCCAAGCAAUCUUGAAUUUGUGCUCUGAGGUCUUAACAGAUUUUAAACAGGUCUUGAAGGCAAAGCCUGAAAGUAGGGAGGCACAGUACGUGAAUUGUUUGCUAAGAAUUUAGAUUGGUGCAAGGAUAGCACACUGUCUCGGAAACAGGGCAUUGAAUAACUAAGGAGUGCACUCUCAGAAAGGGAAGGAAGAAAAGACAAGAAAUCUCUGGGAAAGGAAGGUCUGAGAGACCAGACAACCCUGAUGGGAUAUUCCACUUUAUGUAACUUUCAGUACAUAAAUCACAGGAUGUAGAGAAUUCUGGAUCAGCGAGGCUCUGCAUGUGCUGGGAAGUGUAUGUUUCCCUGAGCUGUGUGUGAUUUCAGCCGGAUCCCCGUGUCCUCUGGCCUAAGGUGUUUGCAGUACCUCUGUCUGCAUAGUCUUUUGAUUUUUCUUAUGUCUACAGAAACUUUGACCACCCUACAGAUGGUCCCAGUCCUGCCUCCAUGAUCUACACCCAAAACCUGAGGAGAAAUGGCUACAGUUAGAACAAAACAGGGUUUCAAUGAUGUUUCUAGGGAAGACACACAGGGCUUUAGAGGUCAAUAGGAACUUUCCUCAUUAGGGUCUGCUCUUGGAAUUCAGAAGGGAAGAGUGGCUGAGCAGGGGUAUGGGUUGACUCUACUUUGGAAUCAUAAAUGAUGUGGGAGAGACCACCCAGGCCUCUAACCCAGACCUUGAUGGAAUGUCCAAGAGGAACUUGCAGCCUUAACAGGCCAAGGCAGGGACAGGGUUCAUUCUCAAGUGGACGUGAGACACCCUCUCAGGCCUCCCACAAUGGAAAGUAGAAAAGUGAGAGAACUGAAGCUUAAUGGACAAGCGAGGUUGGGGCUGGAGAAAUGUUUUGUUGCUGCUGACUGUUAUCUUGAACCUAUUUCUAGCUUCUGGCUGUUGGGACUUGAGGACCACAGGUUGGACAAGUUCCCUACAAACGAACCCUGCCAUUUUAACUCAGUUCCAGGCAAAAAUUGUCCAUGGUAGUUCAGUUUUGAUGUGCGCCAACCUCCCACAUAGAUUCUCUGUUUUUCUUUCUUGUUCUUAUCUUCUUUAUUUUAUUUACCAUUAAAAAUUUCCAUUAUUUGACUAGUAAAUCCCUCCAGGCUUAAUUUAUUUCCCUGGCCUAGGAAUAUCUGCAUUUUGAAAGGAGACUUCUGAUGACUCAAACGCACUCUAGAUCGAAAGGAAUAAAUCCCUACAAGAAAUUUCAGAUGGGAGAUGCAGAAAGAGCAGGAGAAUCAUGCUCUGAGCAGAGUCCACCAAGAGCACUCCAUGGGUAGCAGUAGGGCAUGGCUGUCUCUGUGCCUCCAGGAACUGGGAGGAACAAAGGAAUGUGAAGAGGAGGAUUCACUGAUGCUGGAAGAGAAGAUAAUGAACUUUUAUUCAGUGUUUCAUUAUGAAAGUUCAAAUAUACAGAAAAUUUGGAAGAAUUUAACACUAUGGCCGGUGCCGCGGCUCACUAGGCUAAUCCUCUGCCUUUGCGGCACCGGCACACCGGGUUCUAGUCCUGGUCGGGGCGCCGGAUUCUGUCCGGUUGCUCCUCUUCCAGGCCAGCUCUCUGCUGUGGCCCGGGAGUGCAGUGGAGGAUGGCCCAAGUGCUUGGGCCCUGCACCUGCAUGGGAGACCAGGAGAAGCACCUGGCUCCUGCCUUCGGAUCAGCGCGGUGCACUGGCCGCAGUGCGCCGGCCACAGCAGCCAUUGUGGGGUGAACCAACGGAAAAAGGAAGACCUUUCUCUCUGUCUCUCUCACUCACUGUCCACUCUGCCUGUCAAAACAAACAAACAAACAAAAAACAAAAAACAAACAAACAAAAAAAAACCACUAAGCAUGCAUGUACCCACCACCUGGAUUCUACCAUAAUGUGGUAGUAGCUAUAUCACAUAGCUGUCAUCUGUCAUCCCUAUCCGUCCAUCAAGCCAUCUAAGUUUUCAUACAUUUUCUUUUUUAUUUUAUUUAUCUUUUUAAAAAUAUUUUUUUAUUUGAGAGAUAAGAUUUACAGUGAGAGGGAGAGAGAGAAAGGCCUUCCAUCUAGUGGUUCACUUGCCAAAUGGCUGCAACGGCUGGAGCUGGGCUGAUCCGAAGCCAGGAGCCAGGUGCCUCUUCCAGGUCUCCCACAUGGGUGCAGAGGCCCAAGCACUCGGGUCAUCUUCUACUGCUUUCUCAGGCCACAGCGGAGAGCUGAACUGGAAGAGGAGCAGCUGGGAUUCGAACCAGUGCCCAUAUGGGAUGCCAGUGCCACAGGUGGAGGAUUAACCUACUGCACCACAGCGCCGGCCUAUUUUUGAUACAUUUUAAAGUGAGUUGCAGCUCCUGCCUCAGAAUCAACCCUUGGGACAUUCGGAUCUGACUAAAAGGUCCGUGAGAGUCUCACAGGCAUGGAAAGCCAUGACAAGGUGGCAAAAAACAAUCUACAUGAAAGAUCCUGGUGAACAAGACCCCAGCAGAAGGAUCAGGCCAUCAAGGAGAGAGGCGCCUUUCUCUGAAGGGAGGAAGGAACCUCCACUGUGAUACGACCUUGACUAAACAAAUUCAGAGUUGGUGAACUCAAGGGGCUUCCAUAGCCUAGACAGCUCAUAGCAAGAGUCUUGGGUGAUUGCUGACAUCAUAAAUAAGAGUGCCAAUUGUUAAAUCAACAACGGGAGUCACUGGGUUCAUGCUCCCCACGCAGGAUCUCUGUCCUUAAUAUGUUUAACUAUGAAACUCAAAAACAACACUACUAGUCGAACAAUACCCUAUACCUGGUUCGGUUGUGUGAGUGCAGUCUGUUGAAAUCCCUGGUUAGUAUAUACUAAGUUGAUCUUCAGUAUAUGAAGGUAAUUGAAAAUGAAA